UACGGAGGGUGCAAGCGUUAUCCGGAUUCACUGGGUUUAAAGGGUGCGUAGGCGGGCAGGCAAGUCAGUGGUGAAAUCCUUGAGCUUAACUCGAGAACUGCCAUUGAUACUAUCUGUCUUGAAUAUUGUGGAGGUAAGCGGAAUAUGUCAUGUAGCGGUGAAAUGCUUAGAUAUGACAUAGAACACCUAUUGCGAAGGCAGCUUACUACGCAUAUAUUGACGCUGAGGCACGAAAGCGUGGGGAUCAAACAGG
rnacentral:rRNA from 1 species